ensembl:lncRNA
CAGCAUUCAGUCGCAGCUGGACACCACGCUUGGUGAUGACGUAUUUAUCGUACUACGACGUGAUGACGUAUGUAUGAAGGAGCAAUCGUGCCCAGGCCACGGCCUUUGGGAGCAGUGUGACCACGGGCCAGCGGGGAGAGUGGGGAGGGGGGGGAAUCGUGCUGAAUCUUCCUGCAGCACGGAACAGGCAAAGUUGCCUAGUGUGAGUGCGAGUCGGUCUGGCCUCGAUGCUGUUGGAGUUAUAGGACCAAUCAGUGCUCGGGGGAGGGAGUUUCAGUCCCCGACAAAGCAAGGAGCGCUGCAAUCCUCAGAAUGAAGAAUAAUCAAUGGCGGCGCUGAAGGAAAGUAGAAAUCUACGGACAAAACACAACCGUUUCAUCUAAAAUACUCGGGUGAAAUUAAAAGAUGAAAAGGAAUCUGCGGAAUCAGAUGGGAUCAUUUUAAAUGUUUUUUAAUGGAACAGGAUUCAGCCAGAGAGAGGAGAGCAUAGCUGCCUAGCCAAGUUCAGACUAUUAUUCAAAAGCUGAAUAUCAGGAUGGUCUCACGAGGCAAGCAAAAUACCGUUUUCCACUCAACUUGGUCCACUUUUUCAUUGUAACACAUUUUGCGUAAUGUAUAAUUCACUCAUACCUAUCCAUGCUAUUUUGAAGCCAGAGGCCGAAUACAAUGAAUAAUUGACUGUUUACUGCAGCCAGAGAGUAGGUGUCUGGCAGUAAUAGUACAUUAAGAUAUGUUCAUGUCGAAAUGUGAACUUCUUUCUUAACAUGUCAUCGCAGAACGGUUGGAUCAAAAUGUGCUGGGUAACUCUGAGGGCAAGAUAGAGUCCGAAUUGACUUCCCAUCAGGAGUUCAGACAGUAGUUGUUUGAACAACUGCGCCACCUUCAAAGGGAACACAGUAUGACUAUGAAUAGUGAGAACAGUCAUAGUCAGAAUAAAAUCGGAUCAAACAUAUCUUUAAAAAACAGGACAUGCCUUUAAAUCUUUUGUUUUUCUGGACACAUGAACAUAAAGCAUUAAACAGCGCCUAAACACCUAAGCAGUGUUUGUGCAUGGAUAAAGAGGCAUUGGGCAUGAGCUGUUAUCGAGCUGUGUCUGCAUCCAAUGUAAGUGGACAAAUGUGCCUGAUCAUGGCCAGAUGGCAGACAGAUGGACGCUGUCCCCAGGAAUAGAUUGUCAUCGUUCCCGCCUGUUGGAGCUCUCUUUCUGUUAUACAUUCCCCGUUAGCACACAGAAAAAUGUGUUUUUCUUGACACCCAUUAUUAGAUGGAUCAUAUCUUAAAUUGACUGUGAUUAAAUAGUCAAAGAAAAAAUUGGUUGAAGGGAUGAUCAUUGUGAUGUCUGUUUAAAUAUCUGUACACACUUGAAUGUAAUCAACAAACCGUUUUCAUGAGCAUAAUUCCUCUGUAAAUGUGACAUGUUUUUAAAUAAAACACCAAAAUUAUGUUCAGACCAAAUAUAGCAUAUACUGUAUGUGAAUUGAUGUUGAAAUACCGUCUCCCGUCUUCCUACUAAGUAUCAAGGCCAGUCCGUGUUUUUCAAUGGCUGAACGGUAAUCCCAUCCUUAUCAGACUUCGUAAAAUUGUUACCUCUCUGUCUCUUGUUUUACUAGAAGUAAACAGAAG